rnacentral:tRNA from 1 species
AAGACCUUAAGUUAAAUAAACUUGUAGCCUUCAAAGCUACACAUAAGGGGCCAACCUUUAGGCCUUG